rnacentral:rRNA from 1 species
UACGGAGGGUGCAAGCGUUGUCCGGAUUUAUUGGGUUUAAAGGGUGCGUAGGCGGCCCGUUAAGUCAGGGGUGAAAGUUUUCGGCCCAACCGGAAAAUGGCCUUUGAUACUGGCGAGCUCGAGUGCGUGAGGGGUAACCGGAACGAGCAGUGUAGCGGUGAAAUGCGUAGAUAUUGCUCGGAAGGCCAACGGCGAAGGCAGGUUACUGGUGCGCAACUGACACUGAGGCACGAAAGCGUGGGGAGCAAACAGG